AUAUAGGAGAUUUAAUAAAUUUUAUAAGAAAAACUUCAAAUACCAUUCCCGUGGUUUUGUAUUUUUUUACUUUAGUACCAUAUAGUUUAAAGUGUAUCGCUUUUGUACCUUAUGAUUUUAUUUUUUUUCUUUUUGUUGUCCCCUUCGCUAAUUUUUUUCGUUAAAUCAGUGACAAUAUAAAACUUAAAGGUACUAAAGUGAAUAUUUAAUAAACUAUAGGUGAGGUAUCUGAAAUUUUUUGUAUAUAAUUUAACGAAAAGUUAACGGAGAGACCGGAGUAAAGAAAAAAAAUUAAACCACAAGAUAGUAAAUUGAUACACUUUAAACCACCAGAUACUAAAGUGAGAAAAUUCGAAACCACAGGAGUGGUAAUUGAUGUUUAUCCAAUUUUAUAUGAUAGUGUCAAAUAAUUAGUACCAUAAAAACUU
rnacentral:lncRNA from 1 species